GAUGAACGCUGGCGGCGUGCCUAAUACAUGCAAGUCGAGCGAACAGACGAGGAGCUUGCUCCUCUGACGUUAGCGGCGGACGGGUGAGUAACACGUGGAUAACCUACCUAUAAGACUGGGAUAACUUCGGGAAACCGGAGCUAAUACCGGAUAAUAUAUUGAACCGCAUGGUUCAAUAGUGAAAGACGGUUUUGCUGUCACUUAUAGAUGGAUCCGCUCCGCAUUAGCUAGUUGGUAAGGUAACGGCUUACCAAGGCAACGAUGCGUAGCCGACACGAAAGGGGGAUCGGCCACACUGGAACGAGAACACGGUCCAGACUCCUACGGGAGGCAGCAGUAGGGAAUCUUCCGCAAUGGGCGAAAGCCUGACGGAGCAACGCCGCGUGAGUGAUGAAGGUCUUCGGAUCUUAAAACUCUGUUAUUAGGGAAGAACAAAUGUGUAAGUAACUAUGCACGUCUUGACGGUACCUAAUCAGAAAGCCACGGCUAACUACGUG
rnacentral:rRNA from 1 species